GUUUGCCUACGGGAGGCAGCAGUAGGGAAUUUUCGUCAAUGGGCGCAAGCCUGAACGAGCGAUGCCGCGUGAGUGAAGAAGGCCUUCGGGUCGUAAAGCUCUGUUGCGGGGGAAAAAAGGCAGCAUCAGGAAAUGGGUGCUGACUGAUGGUGCCCCGCCAGAAAGUCACGGCUAACUACGUGCCAGCAGCCGCGGUAAUACGGAGGGUGCGAGCGUUAAUCGGAAUCACUGGGCGUAAAGCGCGCGUAGGCGGCUUUUCAAGUCAGGGGUGAAAUCCCACGGCCCAACCGUGGAACUGCCUUUGA
rnacentral:rRNA from 1 species